rnacentral:lncRNA from 1 species
UUUUGAUCAAUGACCCAGCUUCCUGAGAGCUGCAGAAAAAUCCAGAUUUUCCAGACCCUCGGAGAUGUGAUGGAACCUGGCUGAUGGACACAUGGCUGGUGUUGUAACCUAGAGCCCCCAGCUCCUCUCCUGCUCACUGAGUCCUGGGCCCAGAUUCCAGCAGGGAACCUGGGCAGACCACUCUCACUGGAGCCUGUGAGCUCCAGGGGGCCCCACAGUGACCUGGCUGCCCAUUUGACUGUAGCAUGGGCUGUAACACUUCCUCUGUAAACUCAGCCUGGCUCCCUUCCUCUCUUCUCUCCCAUUCCAUCUGUGCACAGCCCUGCCAGCUCUCCUCUGAGGACAUUUGCCUCAUGCGGCAGCAGGUGGGCUCUUGAGGACAGCUUCACUGAGCCAUGGUCUGCUCAGCUGCCCCUGUGCUGCUCCUGGCCGUGACUCUCCCUCUGGUGGAGCCACCAGCUGCCCGAGCAUCCCAGCCUGGACAGAGGCAGGCUCGAGGGGGAUCAGGGCCACAGCUGGACCCCGAAAAUGGAGCAGGUGGUGAGUGGAUGAAUGCGAGGGUGGGGAGCAGGGAACGAGGCAGAAAGAAAGGUCUGGGAGAGGCACCGCUGAGGGAGAGGGCAGAGAGGGUCAGAGAGAGACUGGGUCCGGCACUGGUCACAGGCGUCAAGGCAGCUCUCUAGCUGUGAGGUCUUGACAAAACCUUUUCCUCCUGGAGAGUCUGUGUAAGGGGGGUUGUUGGGAGGGCGACAUGAAGCGGCAUGUGUGAUGGGUGAGUGGAGACCAUCUUCCUGGGUUCUGUCUGCAUGGACCUGUCUGCAUGGGCUGUGGGGGGAGGAAGAUGUGAUGUCUUCGGGUUCCUGGAGGGGACAGCUAGUGUCGGGUCCGCAGCAGCUGCUCCUUUCCCUCCAGCUCUCCCCUCUCCUGCAGAACUGGUCCCGAUCUCCGUCUACGUACAGCUGGACUUCUCCGAUGACCCCUGGCCGGCAGCACUCUCCCAGCCACUGACUGUCCCGACUGCCUCGGCUUCCUCAGCCCCAGUGACUCUCACUGGCCUCAACCUUACAACAGAGUGCAAUGUCACCCACGACGGGUGCAGCUACUGUGCUUGCCUCUCUGGGUACCAGUGGAACGCCAACAUCUGCAGCCAUCACCAGCCCUGUCAAACCUCCAUCAAGCACCGGCCGUGUGGCUGUCUUGUCCUGAACCCUACUGAAGUCGGGUACUGCCAGCUGCUGCCACCCGGUGAGGAGGGCUGGGAACUUGGAAACCAAUAGCCCCGAGUGACCAAAACCCUCUCUGUGUUUUUUCCUCUCUGACGGCUGUAUCUCUGCCAGCUGGUCCAAGCCCAGCGGCUCCUCUGGGUGAGAGAAAAUGCCAGGUAUCACAGCAGAUCACAGGCCCCGCGCCUGGGACAGGAAUAGUGAGACUAACAACAACAGGGCUCUGGAGACAGGUGGACAAGGAAAGUUUCCUUUCUGGUGGAGGGGGAAGUCCUAGGUCAAAAAUCUUCCCUGUGUGGUUCCUACUGAC